UACGGAGGGGGCUAGCGUUAUUCGGAAUUACUGGGCGUAAAGCGCGCGUAGGCGGUUAUCCAAGUUGGGGGUGAAAUCCCGGAGCUCAACUCCGGAACUGCCCUCAAAACUGGAAGACUAGAGUUCGAGAGAGGUAAGGGGAAUUCCUAGUGUAGAGGUGAAAUUCGUAGAUAUUAGGAAGAACACCAGUGGCGAAGGCGCCUUACUGGCUCGAUACUGACGCUGAGGUGCGAAAGUGUGGGGAGCAAACAGGAUUAGAUACCCUGGUAGUCCACACCGUAAACGAUGGGUGCUAGUUGUUAGGGGGCACAGUCCCUUAGUGACGCAGCUAACGCAUUAAGCACCCCGCCUGGGGAGUACGGUCGCAAGAUUA
rnacentral:rRNA from 1 species